rnacentral:ncRNA from 2 species
CUUCAUCUAUCCGUGCACGUACAUCACAAAGGUAAGUGGCUAUGCCGCGACGGGAUUGAACCUCUCAUCUCUCACCUCUCACGGCAUAUCAAUCACUUGCAGUACAUCACCGCCGAGAAG